GUGAUUAUUGAAAGGGAAACGAUUGAAGUCAGUCAUGCUAGUGAGGAAUCAACUUGGUGGUUUACUUCCUCGUGCAUUUUCUCGCUUGGCAGGUUAGCAUCAAUUUUGGUUGUCAUCAAAGAAUUGGGGGAAUGUGGCUUUUCUUCGGUAAAGUGUUAUAGACCCUGAUUGAUGUGGCGACUGGGAUUGAGGUUUGCAGCGGAUGCCUUUUGGCUAGUCACCUGUCUUCUGACCGUCACCUCGCUUUUGACAGCUUGCUGAUGAUUGCGGGAUUUGGCGACCUAGAAGUUAGAGUGAACAUAAAUUCGUUAAGGAUGUUGACGUA
rnacentral:rRNA from 1 species